rnacentral:rRNA from 1 species
CCUACGGGCGGCAGCAGUGGGGAAUAUUGGACAAUGGGGGGAACCCUGAUCCAGCCAUGCCGCGUGUGUGAAGAAGGCCCUCGGGUCGUAAAGCACUUUCAGUGAGGAAGAACGCCUGGUGGUUAAUACCCAUCAGGAAAGACAUCACUCACAGAAGAAGCACCGGCUAACUCCGUGCCAGCAGCCGCGGUAAUACGGAGGGUGCGAGCGUUAAUCGGAAUUACUGGGCGUAAAGCGCGCGUAGGUGGCUUGAUAAGCCGGUUGUGAAAGCCCCGGGCUCAACCUGGGAACGGCAUCCGGAACUGUCAAGCUAGAGUGCAGGAGAGGAAGGUAGAAUUCCCGGUGUAGCGGUGAAAUGCGUAGAGAUCGGGAGGAAUACCAGUGGCGAAGGCGGCCUUCUGGACUGACACUGACACUGAGGUGCGAAAGCGUGGGUAGCAAACAGGAUUAGAUACCCCGGUAGUC